UUGCUUUGGCAGUAGAUAUACUAAAAUGGAAACAAUAUAAAGAGAAUUGACAAGGCCCCUGUGAAAAAAUGCUAUACAAAUUUGUGAAGUAUUCCAUAUUUGU
ensembl:snRNA U6 U6 spliceosomal RNA